AGUUCAAUUACAUUAAUUGAAACUUGAUUGACCUGAAAUACAGACUUAAUUAGUUGUUCAUCCAUAAAAUUUAGCAUGUACCUCAUGUUCAGUGCUAGCUGAACAUAGACAGAACCAAAUUCCAAAUGACCCACAAUUUAAUUCUUAAUUAAAUAGGGUCAAGAUCUUCCUAUUUAGCUUGACUAAUGUGCGUGACUCCGAUAGGUUCGAACACUAAGCCGGUAGUACAUGGACUACUCCAUGCACU
rnacentral:lncRNA from 1 species